rnacentral:rRNA from 1 species
ACGAAGGGGGCUAGCGUUGCUCGGAAUUACUGGGCGUAAAGGGAGCGUAGGCGGAUAGUUUAGUCAGAGGUGAAAGCCCAGGGCUCAACCUUGGAAUUGCCUUUGAUACUGGCUAUCUUGAGUAUGGGAGAGGUAUGCGGAACUCCGAGUGUAGAGGUGAAAUUCGUAGAUAUUCGGAAGAACACCAGUGGCGAAGGCGGCAUACUGGCCCAUUACUGACGCUGAGGCUCGAAAGCGUGGGGAGCAAACAGGAUUAGAUACCCUGGUAGUCCACGCUGUAAACGAUGAGAGCUAGUUGUCGGCACGCAUGCGUGUCGGUGACGCAGCUAACGCAUUAAGCUCUCCGCCUGGGGAGUACGGUCGCAAGAUUA